rnacentral:misc_RNA from 1 species
AAGUCGUAACAAGGUUUCCGUAGGUGAACCUGCGGAAGGAUCAUUAACACGUAUCCACGUAUCAACCAAUCGUGAACUCGUUUUCGCAUCUCCCUGCUAGAUGAAUUGGAACGGUCAAACAAUUUGAGUGGGACUCUUCGGAGUCACGGUUUGACCCCAUAUACAAUUUAUCUAGUCAGGUUCCUUCUUAUAAAAUCAAAUUCCAUUCAUAUUUGAAUUUAUAGGAUAUAUCAUUCACUUAUUUCACACCCUUUUUGCUAGUUGACUUUUUUAUGUGGUGUUGUGAGGAAAUUAAUUUUUUCUCUUAGCUCACACGUUUAAUUAAUUGAACGUUAAAAAUACAACUCUUAGCAAUGGAUAUCUUGGUUCUC